UACGUAUGGGGCAAGCGUUAUCCGGAUUUACUGGGUGUAAAGGGAGCGUAGGCGGCAUGGCAAGUCAGAAGUGAAAGCCUGGGGCUCAACCCCGGAAUUGCUUUUGAAACUGUCAGGCUAGAGUGUCGGAGAGGUAAGCGGAAUUCCUAGUGUAGCGGUGAAAUGCGUAGAUAUUAGGAGGAACACCGGUGGCGAAGGCGGCUUACUGGACGAUUACUGACGCUGAGGCUCGAAAGCGUGGGGAGCAAACAGG
rnacentral:rRNA from 1 species